AUUGCUUGCCCAGAGCUUUUAAGGUUGCUUUCCUAGCUGCUUGCCCAAGCUUUUAAAGUCUUGCUGCUUUAUGCGCUGCCAAAGCUGGUGAAGAAUACUGGGAUUACUUUUCACAACCGUAUCAACCACCGCACCCUGCCUGUGAUCUUUGCGAAACAACUGCAGAAAGCGAUAAGCGCCCGCUGUUAUGCCUAUCACCAGCUUCCCCCUAGCAUACGCCACGUGCCAGCUUAGCACAUUCAGUUGAACACCGACGCUGCAGAAAAUGGUAAUUUAACAAUCUAGUGCCUAUCCUAACAUACCCUCCCUGAGCACAUCAGGGCAACGGGUGACUUUCCCGAGCAGUUCAUCGCUGCGAAGGUGUUCGCAACCGUGUUCAAAAAGACGGGUGACAGCUCUGUUGUGGGCAAUUACCAAGGCAUAGCGGUAGGCGGGACCUUGGAAAAAUGCUGCUCGUCUAUUAUCCUCCGAAGAUUGUUCCAAGCAGGCCAGGACCUCAAGCUUAGGCAUCGAGCAGAGGCUGGUUUUAGGGUUUAGGACUUCGGCACCAUGCAUCAUCUUUUCGUCAAGCGGCACCGCAUGCAGGUGAAUUGCUAACACGGGGCUCGCCCGCUGUUUGUUAUCUUGUAUCGAGGUUGCCUAACCAGGGAGCAUUGCUCCACCAAACCAUUCGGUGAGAAACCGAUGGCCUCAUGCCGCUUGUCCAUAUUGGGUCAACUCACGGAUGGAGGUUUAAGCUAGGGUUUAUAUUAGUGGGGGCUCAGCAGCCCUAAACUGCAAGUGGUGGGACCUUAAGAUGCAUCGUCCCCAGAUAUGGUGUUCAAAAAUCUUAUCAAAUCUUUUUAAAAGUCCUGUUGGCCACAAGAGCUCGACUGUUCGGUGCGGG
rnacentral:lncRNA from 1 species